rnacentral:rRNA from 1 species
GUACACGCUGUGACUAGCAUAUCAAUAAGCGGAGGAAAAGAAACUAACAAGGAUUCCCUUAGUAACGGCGAGUGAAGCGGGAAGAGCUCAAAUUUGAAAUCUUAAAGGGUUUCCCUUUACGAAUUGUAGUUUAAAGAAGUGUUUUCUGUUAGAGUUUCGGUAAAAGUUCUUUGGAAUAGGACAUCAUAGAGGGUGAGAAUCCCGUAUUUGACCAUUAUUUUCAGCUUUGUGAUACACUUUCAAAGAGUCGGAUUGUUUGGGAAUGCAGUCCAAAAUGGGUGGUAAAUUUCAUCUAAAGCUAAAUAUUGGCGAGAGACCGAUAGCGAACAAGUACCGUGAGGGAAAGAUGAAAAGAACUUUGAAAAGAGAGUUAAACAGUACGUGAAAUUGUCAAAAGGGAAGCGUUUGACACCAGUGUUGUUUUCUCGAAAAUCAAUUAAAAAUGGCUCGAUUUUGUAUUGCUUGAGACCUUAAAAGCUCACUGUACAUUUUUCGUGUCUUUUUUAAUGCACUUUUCGUUUAACAAGUCAACAUCAGUUUCUUUUGUUGUAAAAGGGUCAUUGGAAGGUGGCUUUCUUUUCGGAGAAAGUGUUUAUAGCCUUUGGCCUCUGCAAUCGGAGAGACUGAGGUCUGCAGCGUAGACUCUUCGGGGUUAGAUACAUUUGUGCUAAGUUAUAGCUUUCUAUAGACAACUUGUUGACUAUAAUUAGUCUUGUAGCUUGCUCGCUUAUGCUAUUUUACCUACGCUUAGGAUGUUGAGCGCAUGUCUCUCUCU